rnacentral:rRNA from 1 species
UACGGGGGGGCAAGCGUUGUUCGGAAUUACUGGGCGUAAAGGGCUCGUAGGCGGUCGGGUAAGUCUGAUGUGAAAUCUCACAGCUUAACUGUGAAACUGCAUUGGAUACUAUCCGGCUCGAGGAAUGGAGGGGAGACUGGAAUACUUGGUGUAGCAGUGAAAUGCGUAGAUAUCAAGUGGAACACCAGCGGCGAAGGCGAGUCUCUGGACAUUUCCUGACGCUGAGGCACGAAAGCCAGGGGAGCAAACGGG